UACGGGGGGGGGCAAGCGUUGUUCGGAAUUACUGGGCGUAAAGGGUUUGUAGGUGGCUUGUUAAGUCAGACGUGAAAUCCCUCAGCUUAACUGGGGAACUGCGUCUGAUACUGGCGAGCUUGAGUGCAGGAGGGGAACGCGGAAUUCCAGGUGUAGCGGUGAAAUGCGUAGAUAUCUGGAGGAACACCGGUGGCGAAGGCGGGUCUCUGGGCCGAUACUGACGCUGAGGAGCGAAAGCGUGGGGAGCGAACAGG
rnacentral:rRNA from 1 species